GCUGCUCAAAUAUGCUAUCUCUCCAUGGUGGGCAGCAGGCAACGGGUUAUAAUCCGGCUAAAGCAUAU
rnacentral:ribozyme from 1 species